GACAGUGACAGGGACAGGAAAAGGCAUCUGCACAGAUGAGGGAGAAGAGGGAGGAGAGAGGGAAAUGGGAGAAUCAGAGGCAUCAUCAUGUUCUCCAGAGGGAAAGAAGGGAUAAGGAGAAGCAGGAGGAUGAGUAGAAAGAGGCAUAGAUUUAAAAGGAAAACAUGAUUCAUGAAAGAGAACAUCCCUGGAGACCAAAUACU
rnacentral:lncRNA from 1 species